CAAAAAGUAGUAUAUGUAUUACAACUCGUUUACACCGAGUUAGAGGUUUUAAACCCUUUUUGA
rnacentral:tRNA from 1 species